AGAACGAACGCUGGCGGCAGGCUUAACACAUGCAAGUUGAACGGGGUUUGAUGGUAGCUUGCUAUCAUUGAUGAGAGUAGCGCACUGGUGAGUAACACGUGGGAACAUACCUUUUGGUGGGGGAUAGCAGCUGGAAACGGUUGGUAAUACCGCAUAAGCCCUAAGGGGGAAAGAUUAAUUGCCGAAAGAUUGGCCCGCGGAAGAUUAGGUAGUUGGUGGGGUAAAGGCCUACCAAGCCUACGAUCUAUAGCUGGUCUGAGAGGACGAUCAGCCACAUUGGAACUGAGACACGGUCCAGACUCCUACGGGAGGCAGCAGUGAGGAAUAUUGGGCAAUGGAGGGAACUCUGACCCAGCCAUGCCGCGUGAGUGAGAAGGUCUUCGGAUUGUAAAGCUCUUUUAUGCAGGAAGAUGAUGACAGUACUGCAAGAAAAAGCACCGGCAAACUUCGUG
rnacentral:rRNA from 1 species